rnacentral:rRNA from 1 species
CCUACGGGUGGCAGCAGUGGGGAAUAUUGGACAAUGGGCGAAAGCCUGAUCCAGCCAUGCCGCGUGUGUGAAGAAGGCCUUCGGGUUGUAAAGCACUUUCAGUGGGGAAGAAAGCCUUGGGGCUAAUACCCUCGAGGAAGGACAUCACCCACAGAAGAAGCACCGGCUAACUCCGUGCCAGCAGCCGCGGUAAUACGGAGGGUGCGAGCGUUAAUCGGAAUUACUGGGCGUAAAGCGCGCGUAGGCGGUCUGAUAAGCCGGUUGUGAAAGCCCCGGGCUCAACCUGGGAACGGCAUCCGGAACUGUCAGGCUAGAGUGCAGGAGAGGAAGGUAGAAUUCCCGGUGUAGCGGUGAAAUGCGUAGAGAUCGGGAGGAAUACCAGUGGCGAAGGCGGCCUUCUGGACUGACACUGACGCUGAGGUGCGAAAGCGGGGGUAGCAAACAGGAUUAGAUACCCCUGUAGUC